GUGGGGAAUAUUGGGCAAUGGGCGCAAGCCUGACCCAGCAACGCCGCGUGAGGGAAGAAGGCUUUCGGGUUGUAAACCUCUGUCCUUGGUGACGAAACAAAUGACGGUAGCCAAGGAGGAAGCCCCGGCUAACUUCGUGCCAGCAGCCGCGGUAAUACGAAGGGUGCAAGCGUUAAUCGGAAUUACUGGGCGUAAAGCGCGCGUAGGUGGUUAAGUAAGCGAUCUGUGAAAGCCCCGGGCUCAACCUGGGAAUUGCAGGUCGAACUGCUUGGCUAGAGUAUGGUAGAGGGGUGUGGAAUUCCAGGUGUAGCGGUGAAAUGCGUAGAUAUCUGGAGGAACAUCAGUGGCGAAGGCGACACCCUGGACCGAUACUGACACUGAGGUGCGAAAGCGUGGGUAGCGAACAGGAUUAGAAACCCCUGUAGUCC
rnacentral:rRNA from 1 species